rnacentral:rRNA from 1 species
GAUGAACGCUGGCGGCGUGCCUAAUACAUGCAAGUCGAGCGAACAGACGAGGAUCUUGCUCCUCGGACGUUAGCGGCGGACGGGUGAUAAACACGUGGAUAACCUACCGAUAGGAAUGGGAUAACUUCGGGAAACCGGAGCUAAUACCGGAUAAGAUAUUGAACCGCAUGGUUCAAUAGUGCAAGAGGGUUUUGCUGUGACUUAGAGAUGGAUCCGCGCCGCAUUAGCUAGUUGGUAAGGUAACGGCUUACCAAGGCAACGAUGCGUAGCCGACCUGAGAGGGUGAUCAGCCACACUGGAACUGAGACACGGUCCAGACUCCUACGGGAGGCAGCAGUAGGGAAUCUUGCGCAAUGGGCGCAAGCCUGAUGGAGCAACGCCGCGUGAGUGAUGAAGGUCUUCGGAUCGUAAAGCUCUGUUAUUAGGGAAGAACAAAUGUGUAAGUACCUAUGCACGUCUUGACGGUACCUAAUCAGAAAGCCCCGGCUAACUACGUG